rnacentral:tRNA from 127 species
GCCGGGAUAGCUCAGU